rnacentral:sRNA from 1 species
GAGACGGAGUUUUGCUCUUAUUGCCCAGGCUGGAGUGCAAUGGUAAAAUCUCAGCUCACUGCAAUCUCCAUCUCCCGGGUUCAAGCGAUUCUCCUGCCUCAGCCUCCCAAGUAGCUGGGAUUACAGGCAUGUGCCACCACGCCUGACUAAUUUUUUGUAUUUUUAGUAGAAACGGGGUUUCACCAUGUUGGCCAGUCUGGUCUCGAACUCCUGACCUCAUAAUCCGCCCGCCUCGGCCUCCCAAAGUGCUGGGAUUACAGGUGUGAGCCACCACGCCUGGCCCCUGAUUUUAAGCAAUACCCAGCUUACUUGGAUUUUGGGGUGAAGUCAGUGCUGAGUCUCCCAACUCUGUUGGCACUCCAGGGAUGGGACAGACACUGUCCCUGGGUGCAGAGGCCCUGGAGACAGCACUGCCCUUUCCCCCAAAGGCCAGGCUCUGACCUUGAGAGUGGUGGGAGUGGGUGAUCCUUCUGGGAGGUUGGACUCCCAGGACCGCUGGCUGUUGGGGAGCAUUGAUUGUGAAGACCA